CAGUAGCCGCGGUAAUACGAAGGGGGCUAGCGUUGUUCGGAUUAACUGGGCGUAAAGGGUGCGUAGGCGGGUUUUUAAGUCAGAGGUGAAAUCCCAAGGCUCAACCUUGGAACUGCCUUUGAUACUGGAAAUCUUGAGUCCGGGAGAGGUGAGUGGAACUGCGAGUGUAGAGGUGAAAUUCGUAGAUAUUCGCAGGAACACCAGUGGCGAAGGCGGCUCACUGGCCCGGAACUGACGCUGAGGCACGAAAGCGUGGGGAGCAAACAGGAUUAGAUACCCCAGUAGUCCCUGUCUCUUAUAA
rnacentral:rRNA from 1 species